rnacentral:rRNA from 1 species
GUAGGUGGCAAGCGUUGUCCGGGAAUUAUUGGGGCGUAAAGCGCGCGCAGGCGGUUCUUUAAGUCUGAUGUGAAAGCCCACGGGCUCAACCGUGGAGGGUCAUUGGAAACUGGAGAACUUGAGUACAGAAGAGGAAAGCGGAAUUCCACGUGUAGCGGUGAGAUGCGUAGAGAUGUGGAGGAACACCAGUGGCGAAGGCGGCUUUCUGGUCUGUAACUGACGCUGAGGCGCGAAAGCGUGGGGAGCAAACAGGAUUAGAUACCCUGGUAGUCCACGCCGUAAACGAUGAGUGCUAAGUGUUAGGGGUUUCCGCCCCUUAGUGCUGCAGCUAACGCAUUAAGCACUCCGCCUGGGGAGUACGGCCGCAAAGGCUG